rnacentral:tmRNA from 1 species
GGGGCCGAUUUGGUUUCGACGGUGAUCUGUUCGCUUCGGAGAAGCGUGCCGAGAAUGUAGAGUCCGCUCGUGAUGUGCUCUGCACAUUAAAUUAAGUGCUAAAUCUAACCGCACUGAGUUCGCUCUCGCUGCCUGAUUUUCAACGUAAUCAGAUCUAAUCCAGCGAGCGCCGCUCCGUCCGCUCUUCCGUGUCUUCGGGGAGAUGUCGGGCGUCGUUAGAAGACUUGCCUGCGUCAUUGAACCGCAGGGUGACGCAGGGACUCUAACUGUGGCUAGGCUCGCCAUCAGUCGUCUGCGACAUUGAUGGGGGCCGAAAAACUGCCGAAUGGUCAGCAGACUACGCACGUAGAAGUACGAGGGUACGGUCACCGGACCGGGGUUCAAUUCCCCGCGGCUCCAC